rnacentral:rRNA from 1 species
UACGUAGGGACCAAGCGUUGUUCGGAUUUACUGGGCGUAAAGAGCUCGUAGGCGGCCCUCCACGUCGGAUGUGAAAGCUCAGGGCUCAACCCUGAGAUGCCAUUCGAUACGGGAAGGCUAGAGGUAGGUAGGGGAAAGUGGAAUUCCUGGUGUAGCGGUGAAAUGCGCAGAUAUCAGGAGGAACACCGGUGGCGAAGGCGGCUUUCUGGACCAACACUGACGCUGAGUGAGCGAAAGCCAGGGGAGCAAACGGG